rnacentral:rRNA from 1 species
GGGUAGCGGAACACGUACGCAACCUACCCAAAACUGAUGAAUAGCCCUCCGAAAGGAGGAUUAAUACAUCGUAACAUAAUUGAAUGGCAUCAUUUGAUUAUUAUAGCUCCGGUGGUUUUGGAUGGGCGUGCGCCUGAUUAGGUAGUUGGUAGGGUAACGGCCUACCAAGCCAACGAUCAGUAACUGGUGUGAGAGCACGACCAGUCACACGGGCACUGAGACACGGGCCCG